AGUCACAUCUACAGUACACGCAUGAACACGAACACAUGCUUGCUCAGAUUAACCCCUCUGAUCCCACUCUAACAUUCACACACAACAGGCCAAGCCUAUUUACACAUAAACGCACAGAUGAAACUAUAGCAAACAACAAAGUACAUCCAGUCCACAACCACAACCAAAACUCAUCAUGCUGCCUUGAAUCUAAAUCAACAUCAUAUUCAUUAUCAUCACAAGUCAGCACUCAUAUCAGACUGAUGUGCAGAGCCGC